rnacentral:rRNA from 1 species
AACGAACGCUGGCGGCAUGCCUAACACAUGCAAGUCGAACGAGACCUUCGGGUCUAGUGGCGCACGGGUGCGUAACGCGUGGGAACCUGCCCUUAGGUUCGGAAUAACUCCCCGAAAGGGGUGCUAAUACCGGAUAAUGUCUUCGGACCAAAGAUUUAUCGCCUUUGGAUGGGCCCGCGUUGGAUUAGCUAGUUGGUAGGGUAAAAGCCUACCAAGGCGACGAUCCAUAGCUGGUCUGAGAGGAUGAUCAGCCACACUGGGACUGAGACACGGCCCAGACUCCUACGGGAGGCAGCAGUGGGGAAGAUUGGACAAUGGGCGAAAGCCUGAUCCAGCAAUGCCGCGAGAGUGAUGAAGGCCUUAGGGUUGUAAAGCUCUUUUACCCGGGAUGAUAAUGACAGUACCGGGAGAAUAAGCUCCGGCUAACUCCGU